rnacentral:rRNA from 1 species
CAGCCGCCGCGGUAAUACGAAGGGGGCUAGCGUUGCUCGGAAUUACUGGGCGUAAAGGGAGCGUAGGCGGACAUUUAAGUCAGGGGUGAAAUCCCAGAGCUCAACUCUGGAACUGCCUUUGAUACUGGGUGUCUUGAGUGUGAUAGAGGUAUGUGGAACUCCGAGUGUAGAGGUGAAAUUCGUAGAUAUUCGGAAGAACACCAGUGGCGAAGGCGACAUACUGGAUCAUUACUGACGCUGAGGCUCGAAAGCGUGGGGAGCAAACAGGAUUAGAUACCCCCGUAGUCCCUGUCUCUUAUAA